rnacentral:lncRNA from 1 species
GUUCGAGUGGCAGCUUGGGGCGUAGCGGGCGUGAACUUCCCAGAGUUUCUCAGAUUGUUAGAUAUUGAAGGUAGUGACUGAAAAAUCAUUGCAGUAAUCCCAGGGAAGGAAAGCUCGAGUCGUUCCACCUGUGUCUUCUGCUCCGGUCCGCAAGAGUUUUGCUGAAUUAAAAGUCACUACUUUAAUUAAAAAGCAGGAUAAACCUGGGUUUGGGAGUCGGAAGGCCUUAGGAGGCUCAAGAGCACCAGUUGAGGAAGUGUGAACAUUUUGACUGGAGUCAAUCUCAACCCAAUCAACUUUCCCUGUGCUGGCCAACCCUUUCAUCACAAGCCAUAUAUAUAGCUGCUGAGCCCUGGAAAUGGCAUCAGAAACGAUGAGGCUACGUGCUUAACUCCCACUGUUUUCUCUCCAGCUCAGCACUCCACAGACAGAAAGUCUGUGGUGAGGAGCAGUGGGUAUCUGUACCACUGCAUCCCAUAUUCCAAAAGGCUUUCAGUUCUAGACAGGGUUUCUCUGUGUAGCCCUGGCUGUCCAGGAACUCAAACCUUGUAGACCAGGCUGGCCUCGAACUCAGAGAUCCAUCUACCUCUGCCUCCUGAGUGCUGGGAUUAAAGGCAUCUGAUGCUACCAUUCUGCAUCUACUUCUAAAUGAGUGAAACUCAUGAGCUAAUGAAAUGAAUGGUUAAUAGUGUUGAACCUCUUAGAA